rnacentral:rRNA from 1 species
GAUGAACGCUAGCGGGAGGCCUAACACAUGCAAGCCGAGCGGGAUUUGUUGGUUCGCUUGCUAACUAACAUUGCGAGCGGCGUACGGGUGAGUAGCACGUGUGCAACCUGCCUUUAUCUGGGGGAUAGCCGUUCGAAAGGAAGAUUAAUACUACAUAACAUAUUGAUUGGCAUCAGAUAAUAUUGAAAGCCCCGGCGGAUCGUGAUGGGCACGCGUAAGAUUAGCUAUUUGGUGAGGGAACGGCUCACCAAGGCUGCGACCUUGAGGUGGCCUGAGAGGGGGACACCCCACACUGGUACUGAGACACAGACUAGACUCGUACGGGAGGCAGCAGUGAGGAAUACAGGACAAGGGGUGAGAGCCUGAUACAGCCAUCCCGCGUGUAGGACUAAGGACCUAUUGUUAGUAAGCUACUUUUAUAGAGGGAUAAUGCUAGUCUCGGGAGAGUAGCUGAAGGUACUGUAUGAGUAAGCACCGGCUAACUCCGUG